rnacentral:rRNA from 1 species
UCGAGCGGACAGAAGGGAGCUUGCUCCCUGAUGUUAGCGGCGGACGGGUGAGUAACACGUGGGUAACCUGCCUGUAAGACUGGGAUAACUCCGGGAAACCGGAGCUAAUACCGGAUGGUUCCUUGAACCGCAUGGUUCAAAGAUAAAAGACGGUUUCGGCUGUCACUUACAGAUGGACCCGCGGCGCAUUAGCUAGUUGGUGAGGUAACGGCUCACCAAGGCGACGAUGCGUAUCCGACCUGAGAGGGUGAUCGGCCACACUGGGACUGAGACACGGCCCAGACUCCUACGGGAGGCAGCAGUAGGGAAUCUUCCGCAAUGGACGAAAGUCUGACGGAGCAACGCCGCGUGAGUGAUGAAGGUUUUCGGAUCGUAAAGCUCUGUUGUUAGGGAAGAACAAGUACCGUUCUAAUAGGGCGGUACCUUGACGGUACCUAACCAAAAAGCCACGGCUAACUACGUGCCAGCAGCCGCGGUAAUACGUAGGUGGCAAGCGUUGUCCGGAAUUAUUGGGCGUAAAGGGCUCGCAGGCGGUUUCUUAAGUCUGAUGUGAAAGCCCCCGGCUCAACCGGGGAGGGUCAUUGGAAACUGGGGAACUUGAGUGCAGAAAGAGGAGAGUGGAAUUCCACGUGUAGCGGUGAAAUGCGUAGAGAUGUGGAGGAACACCAGUGGCGAAAGCGACUCUCUGGUCUGUAACUGACGCUGAGGAGCGAAAGCGUGGGGGAGCGAACAGGAUUAGAUACCCCUGGUAGUCCACGCCCGUAAACGAUGAGUGCUAAGGUGUAAGGGGGUUUCCCGCCCCUUAGUGCUGCAGCC